UCCAGUAUAUCACCGGCAGUCUCCACAGAGUCCUCGGCUUUACCCGUUAGUAACUGUGAACAAGGGUUGCGCUCGUUGCGGGACUUAACCCAACAUCUCACGACACGAGCUGACGACAGCCAUGCAGCACCUCUACACAGACCUCCGAAGAGGGGCUCUCAUCUCUGAGACUUUCCCGUGCAUGUCAAGCCCAGGUAAGGUGGGGAUGACGUUCGUCAGUCAA
rnacentral:misc_RNA from 1 species